GACGAACGCUGGCGGCGUGCUUAACACAUGCGAGUCGAACGGAAAGGCCCUGCUUUUGUGGGGUGCUCGAGUGGCGAACGGGUGAGUAACACGUGAGUAACCGGCCCUUGACUUUGGGAUAACUUCAGGAAACUGGGGCUAAUACCGGAUAGGAGCUCCUGCUGCAUGGUGGGGGUUGGAAAGUUUCGGCGGUUGGGGAUGGACUCGCGGCUUAUCAGCUUGUUGGUGGGGUAGUGGCUUACCAAGGCUUUGACGGGUAGCCGGCCUGAGAGGGUGACCGGCCACAUUGGGACUGAGAUACGGCCCAGACUCCUACGGGAGGCAGCAGUGGGGAAUAUUGCACAAUGGGCGGAAGCCUGAUGCAGCAACGCCGCGUGCGGGAUGACGGCCUUCGGGUUGUAAACCGCUUUCGCCUGUGACGAAGCGUGAGUGACGGUAAUGGGUAAAGAAGCACCGGCUAACUACGUG
rnacentral:rRNA from 1 species